rnacentral:rRNA from 1 species
CGAAUUGCGUUAUGUAAUGUGAAUUNCAGAAUUCAGUGAAUCAUCGAAUCUUUGAACGCACAUUGCA